UCUAGUUUUUUUUAAUAGACAGAUUACUUUUCAUCUGACCUUGCUUCGGGGCUAAGCUUUGGAUACACGAGCCUAAUUUUUUUUAUUCCAUCAUGUCGUUUUCUUGAUGUUUCAGCGUCGAUUCUUGGUGGGUUACGCUCAUUUUUGGGUGUAGUGAUUGAACUACUUAAGAUGUCAUAUGAUAAUUACAAUAAUGAUAGCAAUGAUCAUUAUGACGAAAGCGAGGUUAAAUAUGAACUCGAUCAAUUAAUAAAAUUGGGAUGUGGUCCUAUAGUGCUGCAGUACAUCAUUUUGUGAUUCAUGUUUGCAAAGAGCCUUGGUGCUGCUCAUGAUACUCGAAUUUUUGUGGAGGCAUUAAGAAGACCACGUUUAGGGUUUCAAUAUCCACCAAAAAGAUUCUGGUUAUCCACAAACGAAAGGAUAUUUAGGUCCUUAUAAAGGCAAAUGAUACCAUCUUGUUGAUUUUUUAUGUGGAAGCUAACCAAGAGGCAUGAAAGAGGUAUUCAAUCAUAGACAUUCUUCACUAAGAUGCACAAUUGAAAUAACAUUUGAUGUUUGGAAGAAUAGAUGAAGAAUUGUUUGGCAAAUGCAUAGUUUUCCAUUUGACAAACAAGUAAAAAUUUAACUUUAUAAGGGUUCAUUCAAAAAUAGAUUUUGAAUUCAAGCCUUAUGACGACAACGAGAUGCUACUAUCUUCAAAUGAUGAAAUAAAUUAUGAGGAUGUCAAUGAAAAACAUAAAGGUUUAGUUCAUGAAAUAGAGAUGAAUGAAGAACGUGAUCAAAUUGUGCAACUUCUCAUGUUUAGUUGAUAUUAUAUUAUUUAUGAAAAUUUAUUAUUAUUAUAUUUUGUUGUUGGAGAUCAAUUAUACUUUUUAUGAUUAUGAAUUUAAAUAUCAAGAUA